UUUAUUAAUAUUUUUAAAUAUAUAACUCUUAUAUAUUAUGUAAUAUAUUUAUUAUAAUUUUAAAUAUAUUUAAUCUAUAUAUAAAAAUUAUAAUAAUAAUAUAUAUUGUAUAUUAAUUAUUAUAUAAUAAUAAUAUAUACAAUAAAAAAUAUAUUAAACUGGUUUUCAUCUAUUUUUUUUCCCUUUUCAACCAAACAACCAUCAUGGAAAAUUAUUUUUCUUUUCCUACAAACCAAACACUAAACUACGUAAAACUUUUUUUCCAUCGAAAAUUUUUUUUCACCGAAAAUUUUUUUUUCCAGUUUUACGUCGAACCAAACAGCCCCUAAUUAUAAAAAUUGUUGAAUUUAGCCAGAUUUUCGAUCCAGUUU
rnacentral:lncRNA from 1 species